GCCGGCGUAGCUCAGUUGGUAGAGCAACCGAUUCGUAAUCGGUAGGUCGGAGGUUCGACUCCUCUUGCCGGCACCA
rnacentral:tRNA from 12 species